rnacentral:rRNA from 1 species
AUACGGAGGGUGCAAGCGUUAUCCGGAAUCAUUGGGUUGAAAGGGUCCGUAGGCGGGCUAAUAAGUCAGGGGUGAAAUCCCACAGCUUAACUGUGGAACUGCCCUUGAUACUGUUGGUCUUGAGUUACAGUGAAGUGGUUAGAAUGUGUAGUGUAGCGGUGAAAUGCAUAGAGAUUACACAGAAUACCGAUUGCGAAGGCAGAUCACUAACUGUAUACUGACGCUAAUGGACGAAAGCGUGGGGAGCGAACAGGAUUAGAAACCCGAGUAGUCC